UUCAGAUAUUGACGAAUGUACCAUAAAUGUGCACAACUGCGACCCAUUCGCGGUUUGUAACAACACGAAUGGAUCUUUCAACUGCACAUGCAUUGUAGGGUAUGAAGGAAAUGGAAAAACUUGUGUAGACAUUGAUGAAUGUGCAAUAUCAACUCAUAACUGUCAUGGAGUUGCUCACUGUUUCAAUCAUCCUGGAUCCUUCAGCUGUGAGUGCCGGAAAAACUACAUUGGAGAUGGGAUCUCAUGUGAGCCCUUUGGAGAUUUCUCAGUAACCAUCAGAAACAUUUCAAAAGACAAGUAUCAGGCCACACCUGUGCAGCGUUCAGUAAAAAGUGUCCA